AUGCGCGAGGUCUGAAUCCAGAGAACGCAGAGGUGAAUUCAAUAUGGCGGCGUCCUGCUGCUAGAUAGUAAGAAGUUUGCUGCGGCCCAAAUUGUGGCCUUCCUCCUCCGAUUCCGUGGAUAUUUAACUUUGGUUCUGGGUCGUCUUGUACACACUGCUACAGUGGAAGGUUUCGACACCUUUAUCGACCGAUACUUUUACCACGAGAUGGAAGUAGGAAUGGAUCCGAAGGAAGCCAUGAAAGCGAUUUAAACAGCAUCCAAAUCCAGCGCUGGGAGCGGAUAUUUCAGAUCCUAAAGACUCUGACUGAGGCAAGUCGAUCCAGGGAGCAGGGCUCGAUUCAGUCUCCUGUAAACUGAGAGAGUGAGAGCGACAGAGGGAGAGAGAGAGAGAGAGAGAGAGAGAGAGCGCCUGUGGCCAUGCAGUCUCCGGCUGUCCACAACACGAGGUGCUGAACUUGGACAGCUCCUGUCAGCACCUUGGAGAGCUGCUCUUGAUCAUGAGCAUCUGGAAAAUGGAUCCGGUGGGAACCCUGGACCCGCCAUCGGCCACAUCUCUAGAUGAAGGGAUUAAAGCAGGAUUUUGGGAGUGAGGUUGUAAAAACAAUUGGUCAGAGUGUAAAUGAUGCUGCUCUUGUCCACUAGAGUGUCUGAUGGUCCUGAUGUUCUGUUUAUAAUCUGUAAUGGAACCAGUGAAUUUACACUGAAACCCACUGUAGCACGGCAUGUGCUACCCCGGGCUCAAGGAGGACGCUGGAGGCAGGGUUCAAGGUGGCAGCAGCCAUUUAUUUUUCCCCAAAAUAAACAAACACAACCAACCAACACUAAGCUGGACACUUUUCAGAGGCUUCAGCUAGCCUGCUAGACUUUUCAGUCCUUCUCUUCAGCGGAGAUUUUCAGCUCUGCCGUCUUUAGCUGCUGCUCGUCCCUCUCUCCUCUGUUCCCUCACAGCUCUUUAUAAAGGCACUCAAGCUGCCCGCCAGAUGAGAAUCAGCACGUUGGGGGAGCUCCGGCUUUGCGCUCCGCCACCUCCACAAUCGCAGGCCUCGCCUUUCUGCUGGCUCUCUUGGCCGUCAUCGUCGGGGUCCAGGGGGCGGGCGCAUACCACACCCACUAAAUCCUCCAUGAGCUGCUCACAGCUUCACAUGUUAAUCAGUGCAGUGACGCACAACCACUUUUCAAGAGUUCAACUAAACAUUUCAGCUUUUUACUUCAUUUUUAACUUAAUUUAGUUCACAAACAAGCAAUGUUUACAUUUUCACAAAAGCUGGUGUUAUUAAAGUGUUAAAUUUAAGUUUAAUUUAUUUCACAUUUAAGAAAAGAAGAAUCUGUAAAUGAUCUGACACUGUUGUUUAUCUUAAAGACAGAGAUGCUGUAAAAAUGUUACUCAUUAUUUAAGUAGUGAAACAGCUUUCAAACACAAAAGCAUAAAACACCGUCCACUAAAAGACCAUAAAUAAUGAGUUUUCAGCUGCAGAUACUUUUCAGUUAGACGCUGUGUUUACAUUCCACCGCUUAUCCACACAAAGAACAGCAUCCUGUAUAUACUGUCAAAACCAGAUACUGUACAGGUACAUUUAAUGUCCAUCAAGGUACAAACAGUGUAAAUGUACCUUCAAAGGUAAAACAAGGCUGUUAAGGUCCAGUUCUGCCUUAAAUUAGUUUUAAAAUUUACUUUCCCAAAUGAACUGUACACACGUUUACAUUUUCAUGACCUAAUAUAUUAAAAUAGAACAAUAAAAUAAAAACCUUGGAGUCAGUACAAAGUUUGUGCAGUUAAUGUAACUUAAAAAUACAAUUGUAAUGAAAUACACUAUAAUUAUGUUUUGAGGGUUCCCGGUCAUGACUGACACCGUACCGCCAGCUCUAGGAGGGUGAAGGCUAGCACGUGUCAGUAAUUCCCUCUCUGGCCACCAGAGGUCUCUCUGCCCUGCUCCCAGGUUUGGUUCACCUGCACCCCAUUACCUCUCAAUCAGUCUCACCUUAAAUACUCCCCAAACUCGGCUAAGCAGAGUGAAGUAUUGCCAAUGUCCUGGAAUCUGACUACUGAGUGUUUGUUUAGUUUGCCCCGCUGGUGUUUUGAGCUUCUGCCUGACUUUUUGUAAUCUGCAUUGUCUGCCUGGCCGUUCAGACUGAUUCACUGGUAUGACCUUUUUACCUUAAGAAACCUGAACAUGGGUCCCUCACAGUUAUGUUACACUAUCAGUCUAUGUACAGAGCCAGUUUAAAAGGAGCCUGGACGCUUUCUAUUUCUCCUGUUAUACCAAAACAUGACACUUUUAUUGUUUAGAGUUCAGAAGCACUAAACGUAAAACAGUAAGGAAGCAUUGCUGUUUUGUGGAUUUUUCUAUAUAAAAAUGAUUAAAGGAUUUACCAACUA